rnacentral:lncRNA from 1 species
AGUGGUUUGAGGAAAAGUUAGAUAAACACUCUUCAAAGUGCACAAGCACAUAAAAUGCUAGAUUAUUUUCAUAGCUACUUGGAUCAGAUAUGAAGUAUGUUUUAGCCAAAGCACCACAUAGCCAACCUGUUUAGUAAGGAUUUGAGAUCUCCACCACCCCAGAUUCCUUACUAUCAAACAUAUGUGAUAUUCAGCUGCUUCAGCCAUAGGGAUUUUUGUUCACAAUGCAGAGGUCGUGGUUAAUGAUAUACAUGAAAAACAAAAUGUUUAAUAGAAAACUAUGAAAAUAAGAGUCAUACCAUGGAUUAAACAAGAAUAAAAAUUGGCCGGGCGCGGUGGCUCACGCCUGUAAUCCCAGCACUUUGGAAGGCCGAGGCGGGCGGAUCACAAGGUCAGGAGAUCGAGACCAUCCUGGCUAACACGGUGAAACCCCGUCUCUACUAAAAAUACAAAAAAAUUAGCCAGGCGUGGUGGCGGGCGCCUGUAGUCCCAGCUACCCUGGAGGCUGAGGCAGGAGAAUGGCGUUAACCCGGGAGGCGGAGCUUGCAGUGAGCGGAGAUCGCGCCACUGCACUCCAGCCAGGACGACAGAGCGAGACUCCGUCUCAAAAAAAAAAAGAAUAAAAAUGAGUCUGAAACAUGUAACACUUUGUUUAGACCUUCCUGGGUA